rnacentral:rRNA from 1 species
GACGAACGCUGGCGGCGUGCUUAACACAUGCAAGUCGAACGGAAAGGCCCUGCUUUUGUGGGGUGCUCGAGUGGCGAACGGGUGAGUAACACGUGAGUAACCUGCCCUUGACUUUGGGAUAACUUCAGGAAACUGGGGCUAAUACCGGAUAGGAGCUCCUGCUGCAUGGUGGGGGUUGGAAAGUUUCGGCGGUUGGGGAUGGACUCGCGGCUUAUCAGCUUGUUGGUGGGGUAGUGGCUUACCAAGGCUUUGACGGGUAGCCGGCCUGAGAGGGUGAACGGCCACAUUGGGACUAAGAUACGGCCCAGAAUCCUACGGGAGGCAGCAGUGGGGAAUAUUGCACAGUGGGCCGAAGCGUGAUGCAGCAACGCCGCGUGCGGGAUGACGGCCUUCGGGUUGUAAACCGCUUUCGCCUGUGACGAAGCGUGAGUGACGGUAAUGGGUAAAGAAGCACCGGCUAACUACGUG